AAAAUUUCAAAUGGAAUGGUUUGUGGAUGAAAAGGCUUUGCUAGAAGCAUAUGCGCAGUAAACACUUUUAGUUGAUUUACGCAGAACGGUGUUGGAGUUUGAAUGUGUACUUCCGUCUGCCUUUUUACGUACAGCGGAACGUGGAAAGCGUCAACGUUGCGGAGUCAUUAAACUGUAAACAAUUCAUACAGAAGAUCAGCUUAGUUUAGACCUCUAUCAAGGCACUGGAUCACUGGCACAAGUGCCGUUGGACAAGUGGUCUUUAAAUGAGAUCCCUGAUUCAGUGGAUGCCCCCUUCAAGGUAAUAGAGGGCUUCAUCCAGACCAUCUCUCUGACCGUACCAUGGGCGUCCCUGCUGCAGGAGAACUGUGCCCUGGAGGUCAAAGGGUUGGAGAUGGUGUU